rnacentral:rRNA from 1 species
UACAGAGGUCUCAAGCGUUGUUCGGAUUCAUUGGGCGUAAAGGGUGCGUAGGCGGCGCGGUAAGUCGGGUGUGAAAUCUCGGAGCUUAACUCCGAAACUGCAUUCGAUACUGCCGUGCUUGAGGACUGGAGAGGAGACUGGAAUUUACGGUGUAGCGGUGAAAUGCGUAGAUAUCUGGAGGAACACCGGUGGCGAAGGCGGCAUCCUGGACCGGUAUUGACGCUGAGGCGCGAAAGCCAGGGGGAGCAAAACGGGG